rnacentral:rRNA from 1 species
AACGAACGCUGGCGGCAUGCCUAACACAUGCAAGUCGAACGAUCCCUUCGGGGAUAGUGGCGCACGGGUGCGUAACGCGUGGGAACCUGCCCUUAGGUUCGGAAUAACUCAGAGAAAUUUGAGCUAAUACCGGAUAAUGUCUUCGGACCAAAGAUUUAUCGCCUUUGGAUGGGCCCGCGUUGGAUUAGCUAGUUGGUGGGGUAAAGGCCUACCAAGGCGACGAUCCAUAGCUGGUCUGAGAGGAUGAUCAGCCACACUGGGACUGAGACACGGCCCAGACUCCUACGGGAGGCAGCAGUGGGGAAUAUUGGACAAUGGGCGAAAGCCUGAUCCAGCAAUGCCGCGUGAGUGAUGAAGGCCUUAGGGUUGUAAAGCUCUUUUACCCGGGAUGAUAAUGACAGUACCGGGAGAAUAAGCCCCGGCUAACUCCGUG